rnacentral:rRNA from 1 species
CAGUAGCCGCGGUAAUCCGUAGGUGGCAAGCGUUGUCCGGAAUUAUUGGGCGUAAAGGGCUCGUAGGCGGAUUGUUAAGUCAGGGGUGAAAUCCCGAGGCUCAACCUCGGAACUGCCUUUGAUACUGGCGAUCUUGGGUCCGGGAGAGGUGAGUGGAACUGCGAGUGUAGAGGUGAAAUUCGUAGAUAUUCGCAAGAACACCGGUGGCGAAGGCGGCUCACUGGCCCGGAACUGACGCUGAGGCACGAAAGCGUGGGGAGCAAACAGGAUUAGAUACCCGUGUAGUCCCUGUCUCUUAUAC